rnacentral:rRNA from 1 species
UACGGGGGGGGCUAGCGUUGUUCGGAAUUACUGGGCGUAAAGGGCGCGUAGGCGGUCUGCUAAGUUGGAUGUGAAAACUCUGGGCUUAACCCAGAGCCUGCAUUCAAUACUGACAGGCUAGAGUCUGGAGGGGAUAGCGGAAUUCCUGGUGUAGCGGUGAAAUGCGUAGAUAUCUGGAGGAACACCGGUGGCGAAGGCGACAUCCUGGACCGGUAUUGACGCUGAGGCGCGAAAGCCAGGGGA